CCCAUGCUAGCAUGGAAAGCGGACGCUAAACGAUGAUAAUGACAUACAUGUAUAUAACAAAUUCUCCUCAUAAUUAUGUUUUUAUUUUUGUCUCUUCAACAGGUGCAAAUAUGGUCGAUCUAGGAAUGGGAACACCAGGAACAGGUCAGCCCUACCCACACACCCACGGUUAUCCCAGUGGCUACCCACAUCAUGGGUACCCACAUCAUGGGUACCCCCAUCCUCCUGUUCCCCAUCCCGACCACACAACACAUUCAGGUGCAGGAUAUCAUCAUCCUCCUUAUGGUUCUCCAUAUGGUUCCUAUGGUUCUCCAUACGACCACCAUUAUGGCAAUUCUUACCCUAAUUUUCACCAUGACUCACACACUGGACACUACGGAGAAGGUUUCUACCCAUUUACACAUGGCCCAAUUACACAUGCCCCAUAUCCACACGUACAACAAACCUAUUUGCCCUACCAAGGUGUACCCCUUGCCAUCCCAGAACUACCCUUUAUCAACCAGCCCUACAAUAACUACCCACGCAUUCAGCCCCCAGUCUACACUUCAAAUCUGAACCCCUUCCAAGGCAUCCCUUUUAACACCCCUUACCACUUCAACCACUUUGGCAACUUCUAAUGGCAAUGGUCUUAUUACUGUUGUAAUGGUCCAAGAAUUGAAAGUAGAAAUACCGAAGUUCUUCAACUGAAGGUGAUCAAAAGAAAGAAGGAAAUAAAGAGAGAAACAAAAUACCAAAAGGGACACCAACAUUCAAUGACCCUUUA